UUGAACCUGAGCAGACUAAGGACAUUUCAGAAUUUGCACAAUGUUAACAGAUACUUGGUUUUGUGGCAUACAAAUAGUUCAUCUUCAGGCACCAAGCACCGGGAAGUUUUGUUCGAGGACUGAAAAUAUCCAGAUCGGGAGAUACCACAGUAAUUUCAAACAUGGCAUAUCCCUACCAAGAACCUAAGGAUUGCCUCUGUGUCUCCUUGUAUUUGCUCCAUCCUUCAAGGCCUCCUGCAAUCAACCACCAUCAUAUAAAGCCAUGAAUAAUACUUCAAAAUCAACAAGAGAGAUCACUACUGAGCAAGACAAGAUUUUCUCUACAGAUUAGAAUGAGACAUGAGUGAAAGGUUAAAGAUCUUAUAUGGAAGAGUGCUGUGGUUUGCAAAGUGGUGUUAGACAACUUACAUCCUGGAGGAAUACUCUGCAUGUGAUGAGCUUACUGAGACAAAAUGGUUGAUGAAUUGGGUGUGACAUUGCUAUGUAUCAGCCAGGCGGACAGAACGUUCAUCCUUCUGUAUGUAUUGAAGAUGUUUGAGAGAGACAACUAUACCUGGAACUGGAGUUCUAGGUGGCUGGUAAAGUAGCAUCAGGGUAUCUAUUAGCAGACAAGAAAAAAAAAAUCGGCAAAGCAGUGGACAAACCAUUUGGUAAACCACACACCUAACUCUCAAGUCUGUGUGAAACUGUGGAUUUCUUAUUGUCUCAUUAUGAAAAAUGCUCCAACUGGGUUAGGCAUCCUUUUGUGUUUGGUUUGGUGCUGUACUAAAAUAUGAUCUCAAGAUGUAACUUCUUUUUCACGUGGAUUUCUAAAUGUUACUCUCCAACUAACCUGCACUGAAAAUUGUCUGCAUUAGCAAAGCAGCAAAAUUAAAAUCCUCCUUCAAGCCAUAAGGUACUCUGUAAUUGUUUUACAGUCAUCUGAGCUCAAAAACCUGAGAGAAUAGUUGGAAAACUAAGUCACGCUCAAAAGUGCAAUGGGAAGAGGUUUCUCUGAAGACAGUAGAAAGACUCUGACUUCAUAGUAUUUUGAAUCCUACCCAGAGAUGACAGAACACUGAAAAAAUGAUGGAAGAAAAUAGGCUAGUCAGCUCUGAGGAUUUUUUUUAACUUAUACCUUUUUAAAAGAAGCUUAAAUAUUUCAUUUUAGGAUUUUUUUUUUUUUAAAGCCAUGCAUUCAUGAUCAGCAUUACUAUCACAGCAAACACAUUUGAAGGGAAAAGAAUUUUGAGUAAGUUUUCAGCUCUCUAACAUCCUUUUCUCUAAGCAUUUCAGUCUGUAGAAUGACUGCUUCCCUUCCCAGAAUAUUUUUUUACUCUGUGCACAAAAAUGUUCAUGUAUUUUAGAGGAACACAAUGAUUAGAAUAACACAGAAACAGUGCUGCUUAGCUACUUCGUGACUUCAUUUUCUUGAC